rnacentral:rRNA from 1 species
UACGUAGGCAGCGAGCGUUUGUUCGGAGUUACUGGGCGUAAAGGGUGUGUAGGCGGUUGCUUAAGUUUGGUGUGAAAUCUCCCGGCUUAACCGGGAGGGUGCGCCGAAUACUGAGUGACUAGAGUGCGGGAGAGGAGAGUGGAAUUCCUGGUGUAGCGGUGAAAAUGCGUAGAUAUCAGGAGGAACACCGGUGGUGUAGACGGCUCUCUGGACCGUAACUGACGCUGAGACACGAAAAGCGUGGGGAGCAAAACAGG